GAGGUGGUUCAGUGGUAGAGCGCUUGCCUCUCAUGCAUGAAGCCCCAGGUUCGAUUCCUCAGUCCCUCA
rnacentral:tRNA from 1 species